AGCUGGGAGCGCUCGCAGUGCAGGCCUGACCACUUGAGUUUGAGCCACGGACCCCACAGUGGAAGGACAGAACCAACCUCUGCUGGCUGUCCGCUGCCUUUAAGUCAUGCGCUACGGCACAUAGGUGUGCUCUUCCCCCCACCCCCGACACACACACAGUAAUAAUAAAUGUGCAGGUACUUUGCUCACUUCUUGUCUUGCUUCAUGAAGCAGAGAGGGGUUUAACAAACUAGCGCCAAUUUAGAGCCUUGAAAACUGGAAAUGGAGAGUGGGGGAUGGGGUUUCUAACCCUGAGAUCUAACAUAGCACAUUGCACCAGCCAGGUCUAUCCCAGCUACUGUUUAUGCCUCCUCCUUUCUUUCACUCAGUAUAAUAAAAUAUUUUGGACAAAACUUGUAUUGGUAAUACCAACCUUGUGUAUUACAAGAUUAAAGUAACAUUGUCAUAUAGUCAUUGUUCGACAUACUGAGCAUCUACUCCAUGUUGUGUGUCAGGGGUACAGACCUUAUAAAGUGGGGAAGGGAAGAUAAUCAGUUGAUCAGUUGAUAAAUCAAUAAGCAAACCAAUGAGGAAAAAUGCAGCUAGUGUGAGUAAACAGAGAUUCACAAUGACUGGAAGCUAUUUUAUGUAUAUAGGUAUUUAAAGAUACACUUCCAGCUGCCAUUUGACUGAGAAGAGGAAUGGUAAUCUUUCUGAAGUUGGAGGAAAGGAUGCUCUGGGCAAACUGAAUUAGUGGCACAAAUGCUCUCAUGCCCAGCCAGAGACUCACAGCUUCAGACAAGCUGGAGCUCUGCGCAGCUUCACAAAGGGAGAGAUGCAGGAGAAACCGGCAGGGAGCAGACUGAAGUGUGGCCGUGCAAGGCUUACUUACGGGAGCCGCUGUGAGUUUCUUGGGUGUUGGUAGUUUUGAAAUGAGUUACAUGUGUACGUGAAACUAAAUAUAUCACAAAUGUUCCCUAGCACUGUAAGAGGCAUCCUGAGUUCAGAGUUGUUGAAACAUAGAAAGGGUAGGAUUUGGACUUAGUAAGUUGCCGUGCUUAGAUGCUGAGUUGAAUAUGGAAUGUUUGGGGUCGGUUCACUUGGGGUGCAGCUUCAGUUCCCUCUGUCCCUUCUUUUGAGAAGUGUCUGUCUCUUCCUUACUUCCCCUUGUUAUAAAUCUAGGUACUUAGAGUGAAAGUUCCAAUAUGCUGAGAAUUCUUGCCCAGUGUGGCCAACAGAUGAAAAGUCAUUGGAGCACCAAAACCCAAGUCUAAAUCCUUGAGACUGAAAAAGAAAUGAAAAGAUGCUCAGAAGCUGCCUUUUCCCAGUAAAAACCAAGUCUGUAUCAGGAACUUGGUAGAAUCCUUAUCAGCUGUGCAAGGUAUUUUGCUGCUGCGAUGGAAAAGUGACCACCAUGACAGUCACUCCUGGUCACGUCCACAAUCUACAGUUGGGAUUGUGUCAUCCGCGUGCCCCACCUCCGGGAAUCCUCAAGACUCUGGGAUGCAGAGAGGGAGCCUAGCUCCAUCGUUUCUAACGAAAGCAACAAACUGGAGUUGAUCGAACUACAGAGUUGGUAAAUUCACAGCCAGACCCAGGAAUGCAGGAAGAGCCCAGGACCUCAGCUGUGACCACCUGUUGAUUUGGCUUCCUUCUGUGCUGGGUUUGUUCAGAGAGAGGGAGAGAGAGAGAGCACCUUGGGUUUCUUUUUUGUUUUCAUUUCAUUUUCUUUUCUUUUUUUUUUCUUUCUUUUUCUGAAAUACUCUUCAUUGGCCUGGAGCUCACCACUUAGGCCAGGCCGACUGGACAUCAACUCCUUGGGAUCUGCUGGAGUGCAGGUGUGAGAACUACUUUUCAUAUCCCCAGAGCCCACACAGAUGUUAGGUGGGCAUGGAAGUCCAUCUGCAGUUCCAACGUCAGAAGACACAGGAGAUCCUCCCUCUGAGCAAGCUGGUAGCAUAGAGGUGAACUCUUGGUUUGACUGCCAAGAUCUUGCCUCAGUGAAUUUAAUGAAAGAGCAAUCAAGGAUCCACAUAAAUGCAUGCACAUGUGCACCUCCCAUACAGGUGCUCUCACGUUAUGCAAAAUAUGCAUACAUACAUGCACGUGUACACACACACACACACACACACACACACACACACACACACACACACACGAGGAAAAUAGAAAAAGUGUUUCGGUGGUAUUUGUGCCUGAACUGGUGGAAGCUUGCUUAUCUUGGCCAUCAUCCAACAUGAUGCUUCCUCUUCAGCAUUCCGGAAAUCCACUGAAAGAACAGUCUGGAUACAGCUGUGCUGGUACUGAGUGCCUUUUCAUUUUAAUAUAAAAAGGCAGAGGAUUUCCCUUGUAAGGCAAGAAUAAGAUUUGAUACCUCAUCACAAACACUACUUUUUAAUCAUCUCUGUAGUAGCAAUAAGCCAGAAACACAGUCUCACAGUUUUCUUUUUUUUAUUACUUCUGCAAUAGAUGACAUUUUGAAAGUGGGAAACUUAGAAAUGAAAUUCUUUUGUGCCUGCUUUGCUGAAUGAAUGUCAGAAUAAUUUCUACCCCUACAGAGAUGGGUCAUGAAUUCCCUGAAGACUUUGCCCCAGAAAACAAUGUGUAAGACAAAAACAUAUGUGUUGUUACUUUGAUGCUAGGUGAUUGGAUAGUCCCUGGGAAAUAAAAACGGGAAGUGUAACAAAAAGUGAAUUGGGCACUGUGUAAUUGAUAAGCUGAUUGCUUAGGCUUGAAGGAUGUCUCUUGAGAAUAUAAAAUCACUGCUUUUGGGAGCAUCUGAAAUGAGUCAUUUAUGGGGCAGGAGAAGUGAGCAAUGCCUACUGUUUUCUUCCAAUUUUCCUGUCUCCUUGGCUAACACACUUCUGGCUUAUGUUACCCAGUCCCCACACACACCUACUGGGAUUUACAGCUGCCCUGUGGUCUCGUCCAAGCAAAGCACAGGUGUGGUGGUCUUUCCUUGUCAGUGGCCACAUAAUGAUAGCAGCAGCAUGAGCCAUUUCUAGAACAUUCUGGCCAAUCAGCAAGGCUACUAGGUGAGGCAGGAAGCACAGAACUGGGAAGAGGGACAGAACUGGGAAGAGGGACAGAAGCUGGGCCUAGCACACAUAACCAACAGCUUCCCUCUUCAAAUGUAAGUUACUCCCUCACAUUUCUGGGGGCCUCACCCAGUGGCACGUGCCUCACCCAGCCUUCUCAUCCACUCAGGGAUGAGACUGACUUCUGUCUUCAUUUAGUCAAAGAGCUGGAAAAUCAAUUCCAGUGAUUUUCUUUUUGUAUUUCCAGCCCCUUUCAAUACUUAACUCAAAAUUUAAGUUUAUUGUUAAUCACUAGUUGAUGGUCAGUAACUGUUUUUGAAAGUCAUCCAUUGAAUACAUAAGCAUGUGGCUACAGGCUUCCUCUGUGUUCAUGCUGUAUACUGCCAUGACAGAAAGAGAGAAGUGGGGACGUGGAUGCAACUGGAGAUGACUGCAUUAAGUCAGAUGACUGAAUUAAGGUGACCCAAGAAGGCCAGGUACUGUAUGUUUUCUUUCAUGUGGUUCCGUGAUUGCAGACAGAUACAUAAAAUCAUGUAUGUGUGGAUGACAUGAAAGGAGAGUGAAUUGUCUAGGGAACAGGGCAACUACUGGGAAGGGGGGACCUGACAAGAGGGACAAUAGAGGACCAUGCACUCUUAAUGACAGCAAGGCCACUCUCAGGCAGUAGCAGGUUUUAAGGAGUACAAUGAAAAAAAUGUCAGCUCUGUGGUGGCUUCUGUUCUUCUAGAGGACCAAUCUUCAUAAAGAGAAAUACAGAACAAAGGUAUUCUAAAUGCUCACAGGGGGAGGUGGCUUUAGGGGAAAGGUUUGUAAAGGACACAAUGGAAAAAAAUUUGAAGAGAUAAUGAGAAAAGGCUGGAAUAUAGUGCUCUGGUUGAGUUGCCUCAACCUGUGGAAUUCUGUGUAUUUGUUUUGGGGGGAGGAGGAAGAGAGAGAUAACCACAGGGAAAGUGAUUUCCCUGUUAAUCAAUGACUAGAUGGAAACAAGCUAGGAUGUGAUCAGCAAAGAUUUACGAACUCAGUGUGGAGUAGGGAUUUUGGAAGACACCACAAGGAAACCAACAGUCAGUAUCACUAAUGGAUAUAGAUGCUGAAACCAAGAAAAUCCUGAAACAAGAACCCAGCUGCACAUUGGAAGUGUUACAAGCCAUGGCUGACGAGAACCGAUCAUUAGGGUGUUCAACAUUUACGAAUCCAUAAACGUGAUAGCUUCGCAGAAUGGAUGCUCAUCCCAGUAGGUGCAGGACAAUGACAAAAUGAGACAUCAUUCAAGAUAAGAAAACACAAUCCCCAAACAAAGUAAGUAUAAGAGAAACUCCCCUCACCAGAAUACUAGCUGUAUAUAGAGUCCACAGCUAACUACAAUGUAACUACAGUAGAGAAUCUGAACCAUUCCUCUCUAAGUACAAGGUGAUAACUUCUACUCUCACUACUCCUGCUCAACACAGUGCUAGAGAGACUAGUCAGAGCAACAAGGCAAGAAAAAAAAUGACUCUCAAGAAAACAGGAAGAAGUAAAAUUAUCCUUGCUUGCAGAGGGCAUGAUCAAGUGUGGAGAGGACAGUAACACACAGCAGCAGCGGCAGCAGCAAUGAAGUCUGUUAAAAUAGGAAACAUGUUUAGUAGCGUCAGAAUGAAACAAAACACAAAAACCAUGAAAGCCUGUGUCAUUUCUAUGAUAAGAACUUAAUAGAGAGAUAAAGGGACUGAACCAUGCCCAUUCAAACAAUUAUUAGGGGAAAAAAAAAACUGUCAGUAAAGACAGACUGAAAAACGGGUUUGAGUGAAGGAGAAGUUCUCCAUAGAAGGAAGAGGGCAGGAAGAUAGAGACCUGUUGUUAGGCUAGUCUUCUUAGAGCAAUUUACUCUGCAGGAACUCCCCAGGGCUCGGAGAGAACAUGUCAAUCUAUUCUAAAACCAGCAUCCCCAAAUUUCCAAAGCACCUCCACUAGCCCAGUGUCCACAUCCAUGUCACACACAAGAGACAUUCACCUCCAUCCCCAAAGUCCCAACCGAAUGAAGAAAUCUCUCAACAUUCAGGUCCAAAGUCUCAUUUGAAACUCAAGGCAAACUCCUUUGAUCUGUGAGACAGUAGAAUCAAAAGAAAAAUCUGAAGCAGGGUGGGUAGCUCAUGCCUGUAAUCACAGCACUUGGGAAGCUGAGGCAGGAGGAUUGCUGUGAAUCUCAGGCCAAUCUGGGCUACAUAGUGAUAGGUUUUAGGAGACCCUGGGCUAUGGUAUGAGAGAGACCCUUUCUUCUUUUCUCUUCUCUUCCUUUCUUUUUAGUUCUGUAAUUCAAAGGUGAGACAAGGCUAGGACAAGCGUUCCUAUUUCAAAAGAGGGAAGAGUACUGUGUAUAAUUCCAGACUGAAGCCCAGCAGCAGAGACAGUGAAGCUCGACCUCCAGCAUCCGAUGGUGCACACCAAGGUGGGCGUGGCCCAGAGGCCUUGGAAGGACCCACUCCAUAAAUGCUGGCCGACCUGUGUGGCAGCUUUCUCAAUUGUACACUGACACCUGUGGCUUUCAGAGGCUGACAUUAUAUACAGCUGGUGGCUCUUCCUUCCUGGAGUCUCGAGAAUAACAAUGGCGCUCAGCUGCAGUUGGCAUCCCUGUGGAGAACAACUCUGCCCCUGAAGCAGACCUCUUCCAGGCCCAGCAGGCUCUCUUUUGAAAUCUCAGUGUGAACCACUCUGACCCUGUAACUCUUGUGUGUCGCCUGCUUGCAGAAUCGGCACUCGGAGAUGCCAAAGCUAACUGAAGACACCCAUUGGAGCAGUAACAUCAGCCACCCUGGAGUAGCCUUCGAGUGCCUUGCUGGACACGAGGGAUCAGGCAGGGAGCCCAUGGACAGCACAGAGGCCGGCCUCUGAAACACUUGGGCCCCUGCUCUGUUAUGGACAAGGCUGCCUCACAGAUUCCCGGGGUGACAGCUGGGCAUCUUUCUUUCCCAGUUUUCUUGUGUUCAGGACUUUGGCUUUCUUUCUCUUGGCUAAUCUCUUUAGUGAACAACUGCUGACCAGACUCUUUUCUCCUCAGCAUCUGUUUUUUGGCCUUUUCUGGAUAGGCUGUGAUUUUUCUAAAUAUUUUUGCUGUGUUCUUUUUUGUUUUUGUUUGUUUGGAGACAGGAAUUCUCUGUGUAGGGGUGGCUGUCUUGGAACUCGCUGUGUAGACCAGGCUGGCCUCAAACUCACAGUGAUCCACCUGUUGGUUAAGCGGCACCGCCUGCGGUGGGCAUGCCAACAGAUGUUGUGGUGGCGGAAGACUCAUCAGUCAUGGUUACCUUUCUAGAGCUUUACUGGGAGAGAAGGAGAGAGAGAGAGAGAGAGAGAGAGAGAGAGAGAGAGAGAGAGAGAGAGAGAGAGAGAGAGAGAGAGAGACCGCACAGAGGGGAGAGAAUAUGGAAGGAGAGAGUGCGGAAAGAGAGGGUACAGAGAGGGCACGCCCGCUUUUUAGGCUGGGACGCCGUCACAGGCUGGUGACAUAAUUAAGGACAUAAUCCUUAUACCACCUGCUUCUGCCUCCCAAGUAUUGGGAUUAAAGGCGUGCACCACCACCACUGCCGGGCUUGCUGUGUUCUUUUUCAUUUUCCCUCUGCCUCAGGACAUUGCUCCCAAAUCCUACCGCACACAGUAAGAAGUAACAAAGCAGCCAAUUCAAGGCUUGGAUGGCUAGAGAUUUCGCCCACUAGGUUUUUAGCACUCUUAAACUUCAUCUUUCCUGAGCAUAUGCAAACUUCAGCUAUGUUCUACAUUGCUUUAUUUAAAAUAAAUAAAUGUUUGUUUAUAAAUUUAUAACAAAUCACCUUAUAUGGUGAUUUUUUUCCCCUCCAAUUUCAAUUCUUAGUCUUGCUCUUUAAGGCCCCACCAAAAGCAUCUAUAAGACUCCAUGUGCAGCUAUUUAGGCUCUUAAAAGUCCAACUCUCAAAUUCUUCCUGUGCCUGCUCAUUACCUAGUUAGAAAUCUGAGUCCACACUUUAGGGCAUUGCUAGAGCAAACAACUCGAUCUUGAUAAAAGUUUUCUGAGCUAGUCCAUUUCCUAUAGCUAUAACAAAAGAGAAGGGAGAUUUUAUUUAGCUCAUAGUAUUAGAAAGUGAAGGCCAAUAUCAGGAUUUUUUUUUUUUUAUCUCUAAGGUAUUUGGUAAAGCCUUAUAGCAGAUAACAUCACAAUGAGGGGAAUGUAUAUUGAAAAAGACAUGUCACGAGGUUAACUGCAUUAAACUCUACCAAGGACAGUCCUGCUAAUGAUCUGACCACCUCCCACCAACGUCUCUAAUCUUCCAUCACCUCAAGGAAGAACAAGUCUCCAGCACAAAACACUCUGGGGAUCAGUGCCUCAGAGGCCAGGAGUGUUAAGGAAUGGAAAGAAUGUAGAAGUCAGAGGAUGUGAACAAGUGCUACAUAACACUUCUGUCUGGAGUCAACAGGGCCUUUGCAGUCAUGCACACACAGCGGCUAUGCACACCUGCACAAGACUGAGCCAUUCAGCACUCCAUUAGGGAGAGGAGGCAGUGCCCACGGGACACCACACCUCCUGAGGACCUGUUAGCGGUUAGUGGUUACAGGAAGGCAUUUUCUUCUGUGGUGUGGUGUAACCACUUCGAGUUGUCCAUGCUCCAGCAAAUAGCCUGCUACCCAUACUGAAGCAAGCGCCUACUUAAACCCAAGGAAAAAAGAAGUCACGAAAGUAGGAAAGGAGAGGGAAGCAAGAAAGGAUAACAGCCAGUGGGCAAGAUGACUCGGCCUGUAAAGGGAUCUGCCACCAACCCUGAUGACCAAGUCAAUCUAGGACCCACAUAGUAGAAGGAGAGAACAGAUGCCCACAAAUUGUCCUCUGACUGUGGUGUGCAUGAACCCACACUAUACCUAUACACAUCACACACACACACACACACACACACACACACACACACACACACACACCUGUAUACUAACAUGCACAUACCACAAAUAAAUAAAUGAAAUAUAAUAAAAGAGAAAAUAUACAUAAUGAAAGGAAAUACACUCUUUGGAAACUUGACAGAAAGCAGCGUGUUGUGAGGUAAGAUGGUUCACGCAGAGCUGUCAGAUUUCCAAGUCCUGGGUAUAGAAGUGUCACUCUAGACGCGAACAAACAGAAAAAAGACCGGAAGGAAAUGCACACAGGUGCUGUUAGUAGUCAUGUCUGAGUGGGGAGAUAGGUAUAUAAUCUUUCUUCUUUCCUAAGUUAUAUAUGCAAUGAAACAUAUGAUUAAGUAUUACAAAAUAAAUAAGAAAAUAACAUUCAGAAUUGAAGGAAGAAAGAAAAGGAAGGAAUGAAGAAAGGGAGGGAAGAGACUUAUUUAUUGUGUAUGAUGUGUAUAUGUGUGUGUAAUGUGUGUACAUAUGUGUGAGUUGUGUGUGAGUGUAAUGUGGGGGGGCAGUUCUGGGGUGGGGGAAUGUGGGUACAUGCCAUGGCUUGUGUGUGAAGGUAAGGGAACUUUUGAGAGUUGGUUCUCUCCUUCCACUAUGGAUUUUAGGGAUUGAACUCAGGUCAUUAGAUGUGAACAGCAUGUGCCCCUACCUACUGAGACAUCUUGUUGGCCCCAGAAAGGUGUAUUUCUAACAAAUAACACUGAAGCAACUUAAUGUCAGUUUUCAGGUCAAUGUAAAUCAAAAUUAUAAUGCUAUUUCAUUUUUCACCAGUUAGGAAGUCUAUAAUCAAAGACAGGUGAUAACAAGUAUUGGUGAGGAUGUGCUGAAAUCAGAAUGUUCAAACAGGGGUGGGGGAAUGGCACAUGAUACAGUCAUUUUGGAAAAGACUCUGUGAUUCCUCAAGUGAUUCAACUUAGGCUCACUUUUAACACCAAGAAAAAAAACACCAAUCAACACAAAACAUGUGUACAGGAACAUCAGUAGCAUUUUUCAUAGUAGUUUAAAAGGAGGUGGGGCAGAAUCCACCUGUUCAUCCACUGAAAAAUGAAUAAAUAAAAGGUAGCAUAUCCUUAUAAUGGAAUAUUAUUUGGCAAUAAAAAGGGAUGAAGAAUUGA